GAGAGCCUUUUAUCUCCAAUUACCCCCAUCACCAAAGUGGAGGUGUGGUUCAAGUGGUAGAACACUAGCUUUGAGCUAAGAGCAUGAGGCCCUUACUUCAAGCCCCAGUAACGACACACAAAAGAAUACAACUCUCUAAAAUGAUCUUGUUAUACAAGGCGAGCACUUUGCCACUAGGCCACAUUCCCAGCUGUUAUUAUGUAUUUCUUGAAUGAAUAAAAGUUAACCAUUUUACUUAGAACUAUUACACCUAACUUUAGUUCUUCUAUAAGCAAAUAUGAUCAUCAAUUAAUUUGGAGAAAUAUCUCUACUAAGUCAAGAGAAGUAUAUUUAACACAAAA